UACAGAGGGUGCGAGCGUUGUCCGGAAUCACUGGGCGUAAAGGGCGCGUAGGCGGCCCGGUAAGGUUGCGGUGAAAGCCCCGGGCUCAACCUGGGAAUGGCCGUUGAAACUGGCGAACUGGAGUGUGGCAGAGGGGGGUGGAAUUCCGCGUGUAGCAGUGAAAUGCGUAGAGAUGCGGAGGAACACCGAUGGCGAAGGCAGCCCCCUGGGCUGACACUGACGCUCAGGCACGAAAGCGUGGGGAGCAAACAGG
rnacentral:rRNA from 1 species